rnacentral:rRNA from 1 species
GACGAACGCUGGCGGCGUGCUUAACACAUGCAAGUCGAACGGAAAGGCCCUGCUUUUGUGGGGUGCUCGAGUGGCGAACGGGUGAGUAACACGUGAGUAACCUGCCCUUGACUUUGGGAUAACUUCAGGAAACUGGGGCUCAUACCGGAUAGGAGCUCCUGCUGCAUGGUGGGGGUUGGAAAGUUUCGGCGGUUGGGGAUGGACUCGCGGCUUAUCAGCUUGUUGGUGGGGUAGUGGCUUACCAAGGCUUUGACGGGUAGCCGGCCUGAGAGGGUGACCGGCCACAUUGGGACUGAGAUACGGCCCAGACUCCUACGGGAGGCAGCAGUGGGGAAGAUUGCACAAUGGGCGGAAGCCUGAUGCAGCAACGCCGCGUGCGGGAUAACGGCCUUCGGGUUGUAAACCGCUUUCGCCUGUGACGAAGCGUGAGUGACGGUAAUGGGUAAAGAAGCACCGGCUAACUACGUG